GCAGUCGAGCGGACCGACGGGAGCUUGCUCCCUUAGGUCAGCGGCGGACGGGUGAGUAACACGUGGGUAACCUGCCUGUAAGACUGGGAUAACUCCGGGAAACCGGGGCUAAUACCGGAUGCUUGAUUGAACCGCAUGGUUCAAUCAUAAAAGGUGGCUUUUAGCUACCACUUACAGAUGGACCCGCGGCGCAUAGCUAGUUGGUGAGGUAACGGCUCACCAAGGCGACGAUGCGUAGCCGACCUGAGAGGGUGAUCGGCCACACUGGGACUGAGACACGGCCCAGACUCCUACGGGAGGCAGCAGUAGGGAAUCUUCCGCAAUGGACGAAAGUCUGACGGAGCAACGCCGCGUGAGUGAUGAAGGUUUUCGGAUCGUAAAACUCUGUUGUUAGGGAAGAACAAGUACCGUUCGAAUAGGGCGGCACCUUGACGGUACCUAACCAGAAAGCCACGGCUAACUACGUG
rnacentral:rRNA from 1 species